rnacentral:rRNA from 1 species
UGUGACAUACCUUAAUGUUGCCUCGGCGGAUCAGCCCGCGCCCCGUAAAACGGGACGGCCCGCCAGAGGACCCAAACUCUAAUGUUUCUUAUUGUAACUUAUGAGUAAAACAAACAAAUAAAUCAAAACUUUCAACAACGGAUCUCUUGGUUCUGGCAUCGAUGAAGAACGCAGCAAAAUGCGAUAAGUAAUGUGAAUUGCAGAAUUCAGUGAAUCAUCGAAUCUUUGAACGCACAUUGCGCCCGCUGGUAUUCCGGCGGGCAUGCCUGUUCGAGCGUCAUUUCAACCCUCAAGCCCCCGGGUUUGGUGUUGGGGAUCGGCUCUGCCCUUCUGGGCGGUGCCGCCCCCGAAAUACAUUGGCGGUCUCGCUGCAGCCUCCAUUGCGUAGUAGCUAACACCUCGCAACUGGAACGCGGCGCGGCCAUGCCGUAAAACCCCAACUUCUGAAUGUUGACCUCGGAUCAGGUAGGAAUACCCGCUGAACUUAAGCAUAUCAAUA